rnacentral:rRNA from 1 species
ACGGCUACCUUGUUACGACUUCACCCUAAUCAUCUGUCCUACCUUAGACGGCUGACUCCUAUAAAGGUUAUCCCACCGGCUUUGGGUGUUACAGACUCUCAUGGUGUGACGGGCGGUGUGUACAAGGCCCGGGAACGUAUUCACCGCGGCGUGCUGAUCCGCGAUUACUAGCGAUUCCAGCUUCGUGUAGGCGAGUUGCAGCCUACAGUCCGAACUGAGAACGGCUUUAAGAGAUCCGCUUGCCUUCGCAGGUUCGCUUCUCGUUGUACCGUCCAUUGUAGCACGUGUGUAGCCCAGGUCAUAAGGGGCAUGAUGACUUGACGUCAUCCCCACCUUCCUCCGGUUUGUCACCGGCAGUCUCAUUAGAGUGCCCAACUUAAUGAUGGCAACUAAUGACAAGGGUUGCGCUCGUUGCGGGACUUAACCCAACAUCUCACGACA